GACGGAGGAUGCAAGUGUUAUCCGGAAUCACUGGGCGUAAAGCGUCUGUAGGUGGUUUAAAAAAGUCCACUGUUAAAGAUUGAAGCUUAACUUCAAAAAUGCCGUGGAAACUUUUAAACUUGAGUAUGAUAGGGGUAGAGGGAAUUUCCAGUGGAGCGGUGAAAUGCGUAGAGAUCGGAAAGAACACCAACGGCGAAAGCACUCUGCUGGGCCGACACUGACACUGAGAGACGAAAGCUAGGGGAGCGAAUGGG
rnacentral:rRNA from 1 species